rnacentral:ncRNA from 2 species
GGCUUCUUGUCGGAGUGCCUAGCGCAUAAUCUUCUCAUGGAGAUUACGCCAGGCUGAGACCGUUAAUUCGGGAUCCGCGGAACCUGAUCGGGUUAGUACCCGCGAAGGGAACAAGAGUAAUGUUAUG